CGCGGCCGUCCGGACCGGCGGCUGUUCCGCAUCGCUGCUGUGCGGUGCCGCGGCCGCCCCGCCGGGACCCCAAAUCUGCGCCUUUUCGCCCCGUAACGAACCGCCCCCCCCAUCUCCACUGCCCCAAAGCCGCGUCCCCAACCUCCUUCCUUCCUUCUUUCCUUCCUUCCUUCCUUUUUCCCCCUCAUUUCCCCCCAUUUCCCCUUCUCCCAUUUCCCACUUCCUUCCCUUUUUCCCCCUUUUCAACACUUCCUUCCCAUUUCCCCAUCCUUCCCUUUUCCCCCUCAUUUCCCCCCCAUUUCCCCCUUCUUCCCCUACCCCCAUUUCCCACUUCCUUCCCUUUUCCCCCUUUUCAACACUUCCUUCCCAUUUCCCCCUUCCCUUUUCCCCCUCAUUUCCCCCCCGUUUUCCCCUUCUUUCCCUUCUCCCCCCUUCCCCCAUUUCCCCCUUCCUUCCCUUUUCCCCCAUUUCCCCCUUCCUUCCCACUUCCCCCCCAUUUCCCCCUUUCUUCCUUCCCAUUCCCCCCCCAUUUCCCACUUACUUCCCUUACCUCCCAUUUCCCCCUUUCCUUUCCCCCCAUUUCCCUUUUCCUUGUCUUUCCCCCCACAUUUCCCCCCUUUCCCCCAUAUUUCCCCCAUUUCCUUCCCUUUUCUCCCCAUUUCCCCCUUUCAUUUCCCCCCAUUUCCCUUUUCCUUCCCUUUCCCCCCACAUUUCCCCCCUUUCCCCCCCCCAUUUCCCCCAUUUCCUUCCCUUUUCCCCCGUAUUUUCCCCCUUUCUUCCUUUUUCCUCCUCAAUUUCCCCUUUUUGUCCCUUUCCCCCCAUUUUUCCACUCCUUUUCCCCCAUACUUUCCCUUUUCCUUCCUUUUCCCCCCCACAAUUUCCCAUUUUCCCCCCAUUCCCCCUCCAUUUCCCCAUUCCCCCCCCCUCCAUUUCCCCUUUUCCUGCCCUAUUUCCGCCUCCGGGGAUCAAUAAAGGCAAAAAAGAGCAGAAAGCCCCCAAAGUUCGCCCCGAUUGCCGCCCAUCGCCCCCCUCCAUCCCCGCCCCCCCCCAUCACGCGGCCCCAUUUCCCCCCCCUCCGCCCCUCCCCCCUCCGCC
ensembl:lncRNA